GAUGACUCUAUAACUAGAAAACUAGUUCGUAACUUCUGAUGAUUGCUGAACCCUUCUUUGCAAUCCCUAUUGACAUUAAUGCUUAUGUGCUAGAAAUUGAUCCUGGUCAAUGGUGUAAAUGGCACCUCUGGUUUUUUACUCUCCCUCAGAAAUGUAUCCUACUGACUUCAAUGGAGCUGAAUUUUUUUGUGGUUGAAUCCAAGCUCAGUUGCUUUUAUACAAGGUGCUUAUGGUGACUGACCACGGAUGGGCUCCUGGGACCUGUUUUCCUAUGCUCCUGGGAGAAGUAAGAAAAUGAGAGCAAGUAGAUAGGAUGAGUACUGAAGAUGCAUCUCUCUUUUCCUGGUGCAUUGAUUUGUCGUUUGGUGUAGUCAGAAAGAUUUGCUGCUGCUGGAUAAAAAGACACAAAGUGCUGAAGUAAUUCAGUGGGUCGGGCAGCGUCUCUGCAGGACGUGAAUAGGCAACAUUUUGUGUGUGGACCCCUCUUCAGAAAUGACCCGAAAUAUCACCUACUCGUGCCCCCCAGAGAUGCUGCCUGACCCGCUGAAUUACUCCGGCACUUUGUGUCCUUCUGUGCAGCAGUAAUUGGCUGCAUUGCUGCAGGUAAUUUGAAUAAUAACUGACUCGUGGGGCUCAGUCAGUCAGACACACAAUAUUCAAUAUUCAACCACUGCAUGGAGCCUUGUGCCAAGAGUCAAUCCUUUUAUGUGGAUUUCCUGAUUCAUUCAGAGGAAAGCCUGCACUGAGCAAUACUGUCAGACUGUGCACUACAGCUUUUCCUGAAGAUGGACUGUCUCCUUAAGAGACUGUUAAAGUGACAGAAAGCAUGCUGCCAUACCUUGGGGGUGUUUAAGCAGCGUUUAAUUGCCAUGUGCUAGGUUUAGUCAUCUCUUGCACCUUGCUUCACUCCCUUAUGUUUAAUGUGCCUAAACAGAGCAGCGGAGAUCUAUGGAGCGACCGGAUUUCUGCCUGUCCCUGUCCUUUAAAUGUCCUGAAAGCAACAUUUAAAAAGGGAUUAGUUACUUGGGUUCAAAACAGGACAAGUGGACAAGCCAAAGAACUGAUGCUAUGUGCAGGAAGGAACUGCAGGUGCUGGUUUACACCGAAGAUGGACACAAAAUGCUAGGGGAACUCAGCGGGACAGGCAGCAUCUCUGGAUAGAAGGAACAGGUGACGUUCCAGGCCGAGACCUUUCUUCAGACCUGAUGCUAUGUUGGAAUAUCAAUUUGAAUUUGCCAUAAAUACUUCCCCACCUGUUGAACA